UGCAUCUGUCGGAAAGUGUCACGUGUAUGGCCGUCCUGGAAGAAAGAGUGUAGAGAACAUAAUGACAACUCGUUAAGGAAUUGUAAAAACUACGGUGUCUUGAUUUCAGCAAACCAAGGGAUGGGACUUGAAACAGAAACACUCGAGCAAAAUGAGCAACAUCAGUGGCAUAACAGAGCAUCGCUUGCAUGACUGGAGGCAAUGGAAGUUUUCUCAGAGCUCACAUAUUUCCUCGAAGACAUAACAUAUGUUUCCGUGUUUGAUCCCAGCUGCUUCUUUUCAUACGAUGAGCUCAUCAUAAACACGAGAGGUGGAAAAUCAAGCAUGGUGGUGUGAUAACAUGAAUCAAAAUGUGGUAGCAGUAUCUUGUUGCGUGUUUGUGUAAGAUUAUAAUUAAUAUAAAAUUGCUGUGAUGAGUACGAUA